rnacentral:lncRNA from 1 species
GUCUGUGUCUGAUCCCGCUGUUUUAUUUCUGCCUCCUCCCAUCAUGGAAGAAUUAGACCUUGGUCGUAUCCCAAGACCCUGGGCUCUGUGGACACGAGGCGCCCUGAGAUCUCUCGAGGGCCCCUGCUACACGGGGCUGGGGCAGGAGAGCCCAGGUGAUGUGGAUUUCUGAAGCCAGAGUCAUUCCAGAUGCUCCCUGCAGACUGUGGCUGGCAAGAAUGAAGGAGCUAGAAGCCUGUUGCAAUAACGCCAGAGAUGACAACGGCUACAUAUGGCAGGUACCAGAAAGAGAGGAAUUGGGUGGUCUCCUGGAACUGUGGCUUCCUCUUUCUUUUGUCUUAAGCAGUGACCAGGCUGUGUCUGAAGGAAGUUCAGUUCAGUCCCUUCUUCUGUGAAACUGCUGAAGCUCUCUGCUCAGGAAGACUCAGAAACCCUGGCUCCGUGGUCAUUCCCUCUUUUCUCUCCCAUCUUCCCUGCUCUUCCGAGGGAGCAGAGCCGCUGGCUCACCGAUUUGCCCAGCACUGAGUUUCUCUGACGCUGGUGAGGCCCCCUCUUCUGAAGGGCUUCACGGGGGUGCCCUCCCGUGCCCUGAGCUGGGGGCCAGGCCGGGCGGGGCUGGGACGGGCUGUUCACAGAGGGAGCGGUCAAAGGACUUAAUUCUGUCAGUAAAUUCCACCUUUCCGCAUCCCAGUGGAUCACUUUAUCUCACUCCUUUCUUAAAUUUCAUCGACUGACCUUCAAGAGUGCAGAAGCCCAGGGGUGUACAGCCAGACCGAGCCGUCUCCAAGGUGCGGGGACUGAGGACCCACAUGCGGAGGGAUUUGAGCCCUGAGCGCUUUUUAUUAGUUUUCCUAAGGUGGUUUAAGGCACAAGAGAAGGUACACAAAGGCCUGGAAGUAGGUCAGGAUGGAUCAGCAUGGCAAAGCCGCCAAGGGCAGGAGGUAAAGGCCUCGCCUGCUAAGACAGGGAAAGCAUGGUGGUCUUCCCUGCGAGCUGCCAGACCCAGGGAGGCUCUGGUGUCUGAGCUCGGUGUUGACACAGGACCCUGAUGACCGGCAGGGCCAUGUCCCCAGAGCGUCCCCCCCCCACCUCCUGGCUGUGCUGCAUCUCCCCAACACCAACAGGGUGCACUGGGGGACACUGGCCUUGGACUCAGAGAGUCUCAGCUCUGCCCCAAACUAUCGGGAUUUUCAGAAGCCACCAUCUCUGAGCCUGUGACAACGGACGAUGACACUUGUCCACCUGCUUCCCAGGGUUGCUCAGUGAUGAUGAGCUCGUGUGCACGAAAUCCCUGUGGGGGUCGUAAGGCUCAGGCUCUAUAUAACUGGAGACCAUUGUUCCUAGUCGUUUAUAUUUUCCACUAAGACAAACAAAUGUUCCAG